rnacentral:rRNA from 1 species
AGAGUUUGAUCAUGGCUCAGGAUGAACGCUAGCGGCAGGCCUAAUACAUGCAAGUCGAACGGUGUAGCAAUACAUAGUGGCAAACGGGUGCGUAACGCGUAACCAACCUGCCCCCCAAUGGGGUCUAUACCGGCGAAAGCUGGGGUAAUCCCGCAUACGUCCCUUUGGUGGCAUCGCCUGGGGGAGAAAGUUUUGGCGUUGGGGGAGGGGGUUGCGUCUGAUUAGGUAGUUGGGGGGGUAAGGGCCCACCAAGCCGAUGAUCAGUAGGGGCUCUGAGAGGAGGGUCCCCCACAUGGACACUGCGACACGGGUCCAACUCCUACGGGAGGCAGCAGUAGGGAAUAUUGGGCAAUGGGCGAGAGCCUGACCCAGCCAUGCCGCGUGCAGGAUGACGGCCCUCUGGGUUGUAAACUGCUUUUAUCUGGGAAGAAUAGUUACCCUGCGGGGUGAUCUGACGGUACCAGAGGAAUCAGCACCGGCUAACUCCGUGCCAGCCGCCGCGGUAAUAC